rnacentral:rRNA from 1 species
AACUCAAAUGAAUUGACGGGGCCCGCACAAGCGGUGGAGUAUGUGGUUUAAUUCGAUGCAACGCGAAGAACCUUACCUAGGUUUGACAUCCGGAAAACCUUCCCGAAAAGGAAGGGUGCCCUUCGGGGAAUUCCGAGACAGGUGCUGCAUGGCUGUCGUCAGCUCGUGCCGUGAGGUGUUGGGUUAAGUCCCGCAACGAGCGCAACCCUAUUGCCAGUUGCUACCAGGUAAUGCUGGGCACUCUGGUGAGACUGCCCCGGUUAACGGGGAGGAAGGUGGGGACGACGUCAAGUCAUCAUGGCCCUUACGCCUAGGGCUACACACGUACUACAAUGGCGCAUACAAAGGGCAGCGAUACCGCGAGGUGGAGCCAAUCCCAAAAAGUGCGUCCCAGUCCGGAUUGCAGUCUGCAACUCGACUGCAUGAAGUUGGAAUCGCUAGUAAUUCGAGAUCAGCAUGCUCGGGUGAAUGCGUUCCCGGGCCUU